GGACUCGCUAGGCCGCCCUGCGGAGGGGCAACUCCAGGUCUGCAGUUCUGGAAGCUUCCAUCCAGGGACGAUGGGCUCAGGCCCCACCUCCCAGGUCCGGGGAGUGCGGGUCGGGGACCCUGGAGCCUUCCUACUCCUGCGCAUCCUGGGGGUUCCCGACGGGCUUCAGGUCCACAGACCCAAGGUGAUGCCCCGUGGCUCGCAGCCCACUCUCCCCGCUGUCCUGAAGGCCCGGCUUCCCCGGUGCCCAGCCCUGGGCCCCUGAGCCGCCCGGGGGUGCGCCGCGAUCGCCCCCCGACAGCUUCUCGCUGGUCCUGCCCGGCCCGGUCCGUGGCUCCCUCGGUGGUUUCCCUCGUGCCCGUGUCCCCUUGGGGCUCCUGUUCGCCCGGCGGCUUGGCUGCCCAGCUGCGGCGCCUGAGCACGUUGGGCCCCUUCCCGUGGCCCCGGCCCCGCCACCGGCUGCCCCCUGCUCCCGAACUCACCCCCGCCCUCCAGCCGCACUGGCCUUGGCUCUUCCUUGAGUUGGACACGCAAGUUCGUGCGUCGGGGCCUCCGCUCCUUGCUCGCCCUCAGCCCGGAAUGCCCUGCUCGGGGUCGCCUCCCCAGGGGGCUCUCCUGGGCCACCCCGUGUGGCCAGUCCCCACCCUGUCCUUUCCGCCCGUCAGCCUCCACCGGGGUUUCUUCCAGGCUUACGCGUCAGGAAUACCUGCUGCGCAUCAGGCUGUCCGCUCCACGAGGCCGGGGGGCCGCUCUGCGCUGCUGUCCUUUCCAGCACUUGGGGUAUCUCCUAACCCAGCGAGGCAGCCAUCAGCCACGGGGGGCUUUUUGAAUGUAAAUCAAUGGAAAGAAAAGAGGGAAGCCCGGGGGCUCAGGGGCCGCACCUCAAGGGCUCAGAAGUGGCCCCAACCUGGUGCCGCAGAGCUAGACCCUCCGUGGGCCCAAGAACACGCCGUGGGGCAGGGCGGCCUCCGACACCAUGGGCUCCGCGCCCCACGCAGCUCACCUGCCGAACAAACUCACGCCUGAGCCGUGCUCCUGACGAUGCCGUCCUGGCCGUGGGAGGCUCCCCCGUGUGCAGGACGCGGCGGGGCGGCGCCGGGAGGUUUCCACGUACUGACCCGGCCUGGUGACGGCGCAGACGGGGCUCUCGCAAUCCCUAACUUACAGGCGAGGAAAUGGGCUGAGGGUCUAACGUUUUUUUUUUUUUUUUUAUGAUAGGCACACAGUGAGAGAGAGAGAGGCAGAGACACAGGCAGAGGGAGAAGCAGGCUCCAUGUACCGGGAGCCCGAUGUGGGACUCGAUCCCGGGUCUCCAGGAUCGCACCCUGGGCCAAAGGCAGGCGCCAAACCGCUGCGCCACCCAGGGAUCCCUAACGGGUUUUUUUAACGGCUUUUGAGGGCUCUUAACAUAGUCCACGACCCCCUCGAAUCAGUUGUUUAGUGUAUCCGCGGAGUCGUGCGACCCGAACCGCGACCAAUUUCGGAGCAUCUCCGUCACUCCAGCACGGCUCCCCACGCUGCCAGGAUCCCGCUUUCUCUCUCCGGAGUUGCCCACGCCGGACAUUCCACAUCAGCGGCGUCAUGCAGCCCGUGGCCUGGGGGGGCUGGUCUAUGCUGUGGGGUAGAUUCCGGGUUAUUAAUUAAGCAAGGGCUGCACGAGGCAUUUCCGUGUCUUAGAAAAGAUCACUGAUAAAUCGUCGAAGGCAGUCAGGGAGGCAGGGUCAUGGGUAAGAAGAGAGGAGGGUCCUGAAGAGACGUUUGUAGUCGCGUUCACGGCAGCGCGAUCAGCAGGAGCUAAAAUGAGGAAGCCCCCCGAAGUCCACGGGUGGGUGAACGGAUAGGCAAGCGGUGUCUCGAGAUACGCUGGAGGAUCUCCCAGCCGAAGGAGGAAGGGCGUCCCG
rnacentral:lncRNA from 1 species